AUUUACCAUGAUUCACCAUGUCUUGCCCUCACCCCUUCUCCUGUCCCCCCUCAAUGACAGCUACCUUCCUCUUGUAAUCCUCGGUCCUAUAAAAUAGUCCCUGUAUACUUGCCAUGUACACAAUUUGUGACUACUUUUGGCCCUUGAGAAUGUUGUAUUCCUAAGUAUGCCUUCAUUUUUGUGUCAACAAAAUAUGUACAUCCAAUUUGUUUUUGGGUUUUGUUCCCGACAAUAGUUACCUACUUUAAAACCUGGUUGAGCAUCAUAUGAAAGACAGUAUACAAAUAUUUGCAGUGCCAAAAUUGGGCAUGUUUUGUUAACUGCACUUUCCACAAUACCCAGCCAGCCUAGAGCCUUGUUGAGCAUCAUGGGUAAUACAUGAUAGUACAAUACAUUUAGCAAUGUAUAGGAAAAUUAUGAGUUAAUAAU